rnacentral:tRNA from 1 species
GGCGUAUGUUGUGCGGGUUGCCGCAGAGGCGGGGCUCAGGAUGCCGCAAAGCCGUAGAGGCGCUCCGGGUUCGAGACCAGGAUGCGCUG